UUGACUGAAAAUAUAAAUAAUGUUGUACAUCAUGCAGACAGCUCAGACAAAGAAGUAAGUUUUUACUUAAAAUUACAAUUUAUAAGUUAUACUAUAUUUGUUGCUGCCUUAUUCUAUAUAAAUGUUACUAACAUGCAGGUAAAAUUUAUAUAUGUGUAUAAAUCUUUUCAUUUUAACCUUAUCAUUUCAUUUAAAUAUAAAUUUUUAAUUUAUUUAUUUAGCCGUUCAUUAACAAGUCCUGUGCUUUAUAAUAUAUUAAAAAAUGGAAGGACGUGAAGAAAACAGGUUUGUAAAUGAUGUUGUACAUCAUGCAGAUAGCUCAGAAGAAGAAGUAAGUUUUUUUUUUAAUUACAAAAGUAAAUAUAUAAUAUAAUAUUUGUUGCUGCCUUGUUCUAUAUAAAUGUUUCUAACAUGCAGGUAACAUUUAUAUAUGUAUUAGUUUGAAUAAAUCAUUUUAAUAAAGUUACAUUAUAGGCAGGAAUGUUUGACUGGAAAUAUAAACGAUGUUGUACAUAAUGCAGAUAGCUUAGGCAAAAAAGAGAUUGGUGAAAUGGAGAAUGAGACUAACUAGGGU
rnacentral:lncRNA from 1 species